CAGCAACGAUCGCCCAUCCCCAGCCUCCAUCCAGGACUUUGGUGGACGAAGUCAUGGUGCUGAUGUUACUGGGGGCCGAUGGGAUCUGUUACAGCUUUUACUGAGGAGAAGUUCCUGAAAAAAAGAAGAAAAAAAUAUACAUAUCCUCGAUGUAAGGAGGGCUGCUGCAACACCUGGCCUGGACAGUUGGUCACCUGUGUGAGGUCCUCGGCUCGAUGUGACUGCAGCCUCCCCACAGCCAGCUGCUCUAUUUGUUGCUUUCUGUCUAACCACACCUUACAGGAGGAGGAGAAUGCGGCUGAUCUCCUCUCUCUGCCUCUGUGAUCUGACUUUUCCAUGAUUCACCUCUGAUAGGGGGUCUUUGAUCAGUUGCAGUACUUUCUCUAAAUUAUUUGGAGCCCAUCGCAUCUUUGCACUCCACUGCAGCAUAAUGAAUCCCUCCCCAUAUUAUCUGUUAUUUACGUUUAAACUAUAAAAGUAAAAGUUGAUACAAUAUGUUCUUUUGGCUAUAGAUUCAUCCGCAAUGAAAAUAAAAAUAGUUGGUUUGGGUUUGUUUAAAGAAUGUACAUUUUUCUUCCCACUGAAACCUAAUGAAAAUCAAGAUGCCAUAAUAACUCGAUAUUCGCCGAAAGCACUAACAUUCUUUUUCAAUUUUGUUGAUGUCUUUUUUUUUGCUAAAUAACAUUAAGGAGGGAAACAAAGCGGGUAUAACGUAAUUGUAAACAAACGUCGCACUCACCUCAGCAUCUACAGCAGCAGACAGCGCCUGCGGAGCUGCGCGCUCCACGGGAACUUUUCAUGUACAAAAUAGAUAAAUGAAUUAAUAAAUCUCU